rnacentral:rRNA from 1 species
GCUUUUGUACACACCGCCCGUCGCUACUACCGAUUGAAUGAUUUAGCGAGGUCUUUGGACUCGUAUGCAGCAUCGACUCUGUCGUUGCCGAUGGUACCGGAAAGAUGACCAAAUUUGAUCAUAUAGAAGUAGUAAAGUCGUAACGAGGUUUCCAUAGGUGAACCUGCAGAAGGAUCACUA